AGACAUGCAAGUCGGACGAGAUUUUUCGUUGUAGCAAUACGAUGGAAAGUCUAGUGGCGAACGGGUGCUUAACACGUGGGCAACCUGCCGAGAAGUGGGGGAUAGCUCGCCGAAAGGCGAAUUAAUACCGCAUGUGAUUAGAGAGGACAUCCUUUCGAAAUCAAAGCUGGGGCAACCUAGCGCUUCCUGUGGGGCCCGCGGCCUAUCAGCUAGUUGGUGGGGUAAUGGCUCACCAAGGCUUUGACGGGUAGCUGGUCUGAGAGGACGACCAGCCACACUGGGACUGAGACACGGCCCAGACACCUACGGGUGGCAGCAGUCGAGAAUUUUUGACAAUGGGGGAAACCCUGAUCGAGCGACGCCGCGUGGAGGAUGAAGGUCUUCGGAUUGUAAACUCCUGUCAUUGGGGAACAAGUCGCUUACGUUAACUGCGUGAGCGUUGAUGGUACCCGAAGAGGAAGAGACGGCUAACUCUGUGCCAGCAGCCGCGGUAAUACAGAGGUCUCAAGCGUUGUUCGGAUUCAUUGGGCGUUAAGGGUGCGUAGGCGGCGCGGUAAGUCGGGUGUGAAAUCUCGGGGCUUAACUCCGAAACUGCAUUCGAUACUG
rnacentral:rRNA from 1 species